CACAAAGGUUCUUAAGAAAACAACGAGGAAAGAGUCAUGAAGCAAACUUUCACUUCUUCUUCCCAUUGCUCUGCUGAUGAAAAGGGUGCUGCUGUCCCAACUAGAACCUAGAGAUAGGAGGGGUUCCCACAAGCCAGGCUGUUCCUGGAGAGACAGCAGGAUGGACAUAGAUGGAAUCUAUGAAAAUGUGAUCCAGAGAAAUGAACUGCCCCUGGUUGAAAAAGGCACAUUCCAGCACUCUGACAAUUUAGGUCAGACAUCUGAUGUUAGCGCCAACAGGAAACCAAGGAUCAUCCAUGCUGUCUUGGCACUCUUGGUUCUCAUCCUGGCUGCUGCUCUGUCAACUGUGACUUAUCUGUGUAAGUUUCCCCAUACACACACGACACUCACACACACACACACACACACACACAUAACACACACACAUACAACACACACAACACACACACCACACAAACAACACACACACACCACACACAUAUACUACACACACACCACACACACACCACACACACCACACACACACACAACACACACAACACACACUUACUACACAUACACAACACACACAACAUACACA
rnacentral:lncRNA from 1 species